CUUAUUUUGGAAAUUCGAAUACGUGCCAUGAAUAUUUUUAAAAUUCGGUUUACUCCUUGCAGCUAAUUGUAGCAGUAGUUUCUGUGGUGUAGUGGUUAUCACGUUCGCUUUACACGCGAAAGGUCCUCGGUUCGAAACCGGGCGGAAACAGUGCUCUUUGACACCUGCAGUAGGUACAAUACUUUUAAAAGAGAAUAGUUAUUUUCAUAAAUGCCUAAAUUUGGAAAUUUCAACACGUGCCAUGAAUAUCUGUAAAAUUCGGUUUACUCCUUGCAGCUGAAUGUAGCAGCAGUGUCUGUAGUGUAGUGGUUAUCACGUUCGCUUUACACGUGAAAGGUCCUCAGUUUGAAACCGGGAGGAAACAGUGCUCUUUGACAUGUGCAGUAGGUACUGUACUAUUAACAGAGAAUAGUUAUUUUCAUAAAUGCCUAAUUUUGGAAAUUUGAACACGUGC
rnacentral:tRNA from 1 species